AUCUCUUCUCGGCCUUUUGGCUAAGAUCAAGUGUGGCAUCUCUUCUAAUAAGCAGACGUUCCACUUAUUAGAAGAGGGGUGGCUAUAGAAAGGCCUACCUCCU